rnacentral:rRNA from 1 species
UACGGAGGGUGCAAGCGUUAUCCGGAUUCACUGGGUUUAAAGGGUGCGUAGGCAGGCAGGUAAGUCCGUGGUGAAAUCUCUGAGCUUAACUCAGAAACUGCCAUGGAUACUAUUUGUCUUGAAUAUUGUGGAGGUAAGCGGAAUAUGUCAUGUAGCGGUGAAAUGCUUAGAUAUGACAUAGAACACCAAUUGCGAAGGCAGCUUACUACACAACGAUUGACGCUGAGGCACGAAAGCGUGGGGAGUCAAACAGGA